rnacentral:rRNA from 1 species
CGCGUAGGCGGCUUUGUAAGUCUGGAGUGAAAGUCCUCUUUUCAAGGGAGGAAUUGCUUUGGAAGCUAUAGAGCUUGAGUGCAGGAGAGGUUAUCGGAAUUCCCGGUGUAGCGGUGAAAUGCGUAGAUAUCGGGAGGAACAUCGGUGGCGAAGGCGGGUAACUGGACUGCAACUGACGCUGAGGCGCGAAAGUGUGGGGAGCAAACGA